UGUUAUCUAUAUAUAUAUACCAUAUUUUAAAAAUCCAUUCAUUCAUUGAUGAGUACUUUGGUUUUUUCUAUAUCUUGGCUAUUUUGCAAAUAAUGCUAUAGUGAACAUGGGAUUGCAGACAUCUCCUCAGAGUGCUUACUGUUUAACUCUUAAGGGAAUCUUUUGUAAUUAGUUUCAUACACUUAGCAAAGACUUCUGAGAAAUUAGUGCAUUAUAAGAACUGAAAUCAAUAUCAGGCAUCCUGUAGGGCUAACAAUGGUGUUAGUUAUCUAUCUAGUAAUGUCAGUGAGCUUCCAUGUAAAGUAUAAAAUCUUACAUGCCAUGCCUCCCACAUUAAUAAUUUUGUAAAAACACUUUGGAAAUAAGCAAGCACUUAAAUACUUCCUGAUAUGAACUGUUAUUUACUAAAAUGCUGGUUUCCUUCUGAAAAGUUUUAAAAGCUGAACUUACAGCUUUUAAAAUCAUUUGUAAAAGGUAGAAACAAAACCUUAAAAAUAUCAAAAACCAAGAUUGCUAAGCUUUAAUGAUGUUUCCAUAAACCAAUAUGGCUACACUACAUUAAGUAGUGUAUGUGUACAAUUUGUUAUACUAAAGGACAGACUGAUGACUUUUCAGGAAUAAAUACAUUAUUAAAAUGAGGCAAAUCAAUUAUUUAGUUGAAUACAAAUCCUUCCUACUUUUAUUCCUAGUUCUUAAUUCUCUGGAACACUGAUUGCUAUCACUUCUUGUUGCAUAAUCUGUGAUGAGAACUGCUGUGGCUUCCUAAAUAAGGCUUUUGAAAGAGCCAGUGGUUGGUCAGAAAAACAUGUGACUAGAAUCCCUCUUUAUUGGCAGCAGGACCUUAGGCAAGUCAUUUCAACUCUUUGAACUUUUGCUUCCUCCUCCUUAAAAAUGUUCUACACCUGUUUGCCUUUCCCAUAGGCUGUGGCAAAUUCAAAUGAGAGUUCCUGUGGAAGAACUUGGAAGCAGCAAAGGCGUAUGUGAAUGUCAGAUGUUAAAAGUAGUUCAGAGCAUAUGGCUAUCAUCGAGCUCUAUCACUCCUGAAAUUUUACUUACCAAAAGUGAAGUACUAAAAGGAAGACUUCAAAUAUUAUCUUGGUUUUCCUAAGAGUUCUAAAUAAUCAAGGAAAGGAGAAUGAGGAAACCUCUUAUGACCUAGAUUUUUUGUAAGUAUCCAACUGCUUUUAAGUCUGCAAAUGACAUUUUGGACUGGAUGCCCAGAAGUCCCUCUCCUUCCACCCCCACCCUUAAAGUGACCAUGACUAAACCUUAACAGCAUUAUAAUACAUCUUGUAUAGUGGAAUAUUUACAUGAUUUUAAUCUUCUAACUUUGGAAAUCAGUUGUUCCCAGAUAGAAGCUUGCUAAUUUUUCCUUGCCAUGUAAAAAUGAAAAAUCAUUCAAAAGCAAUGAGUUUUAAAACUUUCUUUCUUGUGAAGAUAUGCUAAGGUGUAAACAUUUUGUGUUUUUGUUUGUUUGUUUUUGUUUUUUUCUCACAAGUUUGGCAGAACAAACCAUGCGGGAACCAGGCAGUCAACAUUUAAUGUAUAUUUAUUAAUACCUACUAUGUCUGAGGCACUGUUCUUCAAGGGUUAAACACAAGAUUUUCUACCCUCACAGAGCUUAUAUUUGAGUGAGGGAAACAAUAAAGAAACAAGAUGAUUUCAAGUAGAAGUGCUAUAAAAAUAUAAUAUGAGAGAAAAUGAUUGUGACAGUGAUUCACAAUUACAUGACCUAAUGUGGGAAGAUGGAAUUUGAGCUGAGAUCUGAAUGAGAGCCACCAUUUGGAAUGUACAGAGAGAGGAUGUGGAAAUCUUAAGGGGGCAAAGAAAAAAAGUUAAAGUAUGGAGAAGAAUAUUAUUGUGGACAGAUAAGGCAAGCUCAACCUAGGCAGAUUCAGGGAAGAGUUGGAGGUAAGAUGUAGCCUGGUGCGAGGUGAGGUUGGAGAGGUAGGCAGAUCCUAUGGAAAAGGUAAGAUGUUGUACAUCACAAUAAGUCUAGUGAAUUCUACGUGAAAUGGCAGGAACCAGUGAAGGAUGUUAAGCAUGGAAUAACAAUCUAAUUUUUUUAACAGCCUUAUCAAGAUAGAAUUUAUAUACCACAAAAUUUACCCUUUUGAAGUAUGCAGUUCAAUGGUUUUUAGUAUAUUUAGAGAGUUGUACAACCAUCACUGUAAGCUAAUUUUAGAAUUUGAUUUGUUUUUAAACAAAUCAUUCUGGUUCUUGAGUGAGAAUGGACUAUCAAAGGCCAAAAGAAAGGACGUGACCUAUUAGGAGAUGAGAGAUUUUCAAAGUGACUGGGAGAAAAUAUGCAUUUCUUCACUCCCUUGUAGCAUCAUCUUCCAGCUACCUAUUGAGCCCCUGUGCUGUACCAGGCCACGUAUGAGGUGCCACAUCUUCCACGGCAAAUAAGACAGAAAUGACCCUGCCCUAUAGGAGCAUGCAGCUGCAGGACUGUGUGCACCACAAACUUAGCCCUUCCAGCUUUACCACUGGACUGUACAAGCCCUGAAAGCAAGAACUGGGUUCAUGGCAUCUUGAUAUCCCCAUAUGGAGACAUUUUGGAGAUUCUAUUUAUAAGAAAGAGAUUUUACGCCGAAAGGCUUUUAAAUCUGUUAACAGCCUGGACCAGCUUUCUCCUCCCCAUUGGCGGUGCCCUUGAUCCUUAAGAAGUGACCUCCAGUGCUUAGAAUUCCAAGCAUUUGGUCCUUUGAAGAUGAAAAUCAUGGGAAGGCAGGGUCUUAUUCACCCCUGUAUCCAGAAAGUUGAGGAUGGUGCCAGGCACUCCAAAAAUACUGAAUGAAAAGACGGUAGAGGUGCUUUCCUGUGGGAUCUUCCACCUCUCCCCACCUUCAGCGCUUUCAAAAUUCGGGCAUCCAAAGAUUAAACUUGCUUAGAAGUGCAAGUGGCCCUAAAUUGCUUUAUCACCACCACCUCCAGGAAGUCUUCACAGACAUGAGAACUAGCAUCCCAGCAUCUUCUUCUCCAGGAUCUUCUCAACAGAUGACCGUGGCUGAGGUCUUGUCCACACAGACUCUGUCUUUCUGCAAAAGAGAAGGAAAGCUUUGAAGGCCCCUUGGCAACACAGUCACAAGCUUUUGGUGCUGGCAUGUCUUGGAGCAGUUAUAGUCAAUUGUCUCUAUGCUCAAUUUGCUUGUUUAUUCCAUAAAUACUGAGCACCCAUUAUGCCUGAAGGAUACAGCAGCGAGUUUCACAAAGACUCCUUCCUCAAUUAGGUGUUCUAGAUAAGGGGAGGGGGAGACAUGCUACGGGGUGUGAUUGGGCUCUGCAAGCCUGGCACUGCUCCAUGCAAAGAUCACGGUUCCUAGCAGGUGCUUCGUAAAUAUGCUUUCCUCUGUUUUUAACACAACUGACAUCUUUCCUUUUGGUGUCAGCUAAAUGUCACCUCCUCAGAGAGGCCUUCCUUGGCUACCCUAUGUGAACUAGACCCUACCCACCAAGUACAAACCCCCCAUAAGUUUUGAAGCUGGUUUUAUUAGACUUUAUCAUGCUGCCUGGUUAAUGAAUAAAUAGCAAAGGAAAUGACUUAUGGUGAAAUCCCUAUCAGCCAAUUAAAAAAAAAAUGGCGUCCAUUUUGGAGGGGUUUAUAUUCUGAGAAAGAAGUCCCUUUUCAAAUGCUAAGGAAAGAUUUGUUGGGAAUAAUUGCCAUUAGUAGGGAUGCCCUGGUUCUAAACAUGAAUAUUAUGCUUCAGGAGCUCUGGGAUUCAUCAUGGAAACUGUGUGGCAGCCAAAUAGAAGUGCAGCAAAGAGCCUGCCUCUUCUAGUGGAGCAGAUCCGGAUUUGAACUGUUAGCUGUAAGAUCCGAGAUCUGGGGCAAGUUGCUUAACUUUUAUAAGACCCAAUUUCCUCCUCCUUAAAAUGCAGAUAAUAGUAUCUACAUCAUAUUUUUUUUUUUUUUGGAUGCUGAAUAAAAGAGAUAAUGCUUGUCAACCACCUACCCCAGUGCAUGGGGCAUUGUGAACAUGUGACAAAUGGUAUCUUUCUUUAUGGAGCACAUAUAAUUGUCCAACACUCACUGAUGUCCCUGAUGAAGAAG